AUUAAACAAUGCUCAGGACAGCAAGGACACUCAUGCCUUAUCUCACAGGAGGACAGGAAUCUAAAACAUUCACAGACUCCAGGAUACCUUCCCAAUGCUACAUUGGGAUACUUACAGUACAUGCUGAGGGGAAGUAUCCAAGGGGCCACUAUGUUAACUCUAAUGUGUGUUGCAGAUAAACCGGCUUUCCCAGAUGCAGCAGGCAAUACUGCUAUGACUGUCUUUACAAAUAAAUUCCCCCAACUUUUGCUACGUGAUGCUGAACUGAUUCCACAUGGAGAACACACAAACUCUCCAGAGAAAGUGUCCCCACCAAACCAAAAGGAAGUGGUGCUGAGCAGCCAGCCAUCUGUCGGCAGAUUAAUCCUGGCUGUGCUUAGAGAUAUUACCGGCUGGCUUAUCGCCGUGGCAACAAGCCUUCAAUCCCAGUCCAGCACAGCCACCAUGUGACCUUGCUGAGGAAGGUGGAUGGGGGUUGGUCACACAUGCACACACAAAUAGGCUCUCUCACACACACACACACAGAAACAUGCUACAUACGUGCAGGCAUUGUAUUUUUUGGAUGCACUCUGUUGCAUGUAGUGUGAAAAAAGCACCGCACAAACGCACACAUACACGCACCCUGUCCUUUCAUCAUAAAAUCAGGUUUUAAUCCUGCUGUCACCUAUUGAGUUCAGAAAUAUCAUUACACCAGCCAGCUGUGCUGCACGCAGCUCUUUUCAAAUAUUGUUUUCUGUCUGCUAUAAAUAGACCUGUAUAAAUAUGAAUUGUGGCCACCUUUGUUCAGUUUCCUUCACACCACAGAAAGCUUCCCCCCCUAAAUCUCUUCAUUCCCACGUGGUCACAUAUCCACCCACUCACGUUUUCUAUACACACACACCACAUCGUUCAGAAAACGACCUGA